rnacentral:rRNA from 2 species
UACGAAGGGGGCUAGCGUUGUUCGGAAUUACUGGGCGUAAAGCGCACGUAGGCGGACAUUUAAGUCAGGGGUGAAAUCCCGGAGCUCAACUCCGGAACUGCCUUUGAUACUGGGUGUCUUGAGUGUGGAAGAGGUGAGUGGAAUUCCGAGUGUAGAGGUGAAAUUCGUAGAUAUUCGGAGGAACACCAGUGGCGAAGGCGGCUCACUGGUCCAUUACUGACGCUGAGGUGCGAAAGCGUGGGGAGCAAACAGG